rnacentral:rRNA from 1 species
AGGAUAAACGCUGGCGGCGUGCCUUACGCAUGCAAGUCGAACGGUGUCCUUCGGGGCACAGUGGCGGACGGGUGAGUAACACGUACGUGACCUGACGCGAAGUGGGGGAUACCCAUCCGAAAGGGUGGCUAAUACCGCAUGUGGUCAUCCGGGGAAGCCGGGUGAGUAAAGGGAGCAAUCCCGCUUGGUGAGGGGCGUGCGGCCGAUUAGUUAGUUGGCGGGGUAAUGGCCCACCAAGACGAUGAUCGGUAUCCGGCCUGAGAGGGCGCACGGACACACUGGAACUGAAACACGGUCCAGACUCCUACGGGAGGCAGCAGUGGGGAAUUUUGCGCAAUGGGGGAAACCCUGACGCAGCAACGCCGCGUGGAGGAUGAAGUCCUUCGGGACGUAAACUCCUUUCGAUCGGGACGAUUAUGACGGUACCGGAAGAAGAAGCCCCGGCUAACUUCGUGCCAGCAGCCGC